rnacentral:tRNA from 1 species
GGCCCUCUAACUCAAUGGUAGAGUAGGACACUUUUAAUGUCUUAGUUCUGGGUUCGAGCCCCAGGGGGGUCA